CAAGAUCGAAAAUCAUGCAUUGGAUGGAUGCCCGGGCAUUGAGAAGGAAGGACGCUUUCAAAGGCGAAAGGCCAUGGGGAGAUACCGUCUGUGAUCCAUGGAUCUCCGAUCGGGAAACCGUAUCCAAGCUCCGUGGCUAGUCUGCGCUCUUUGGACUUUGAAAACUUAGCGAACUGAAACAUCUGAGUAGCUAAAGGAAGGGAAAUCAACCGAGACCCCGUUAGUAGCGGCGAGCGAGAGCGGAUUGGGGGUUUGAAGAAAAACAAAGACGUCUUGUCAGAGCCUCAGCAAAGUGUUCACUUCUUUUUCGCCAGGUUUCAUUCGAUUUGUUGUGGAUUGGAUGAUGGAAAAACCAAGCAAGUCCCUUUACUUGAUAUUCUAUUAGUAAAGGGCGCAGUGAACUGUAAUUGUGAAAAGGUUGGAAGAUCUGGCCAAAGAAGGUGAUAGCCCUGUAGAUUCGUUCCCAUGGUUCGAUCCUUCCCAGUAAAACGCGGCGUGUUCGAAUUCUGAUCGCUUUUACGCGAGAAAGGGGGACCACCC
rnacentral:ncRNA from 1 species